rnacentral:rRNA from 1 species
UAAUACGUAGGUGGCAAGCGUUGUCCGGAUUUAUUGGGCGUAAAGCGCGCGCAGGCGGUUCGUUAAGUUCGAGGUGAAAUCUCCCGGCUCAACUGGGAGGGGUCUUCGGAUACUGGCGGACUUGAGGAGAGCAGAGGUGAGUGGAAUUCUCGGUGUAGUGGUGAAAUGCGUAGAUAUCGAGAGGAACACCAGCGGCGAAGGCGGCUCACUGGGCUCCACCUGACGCUGAGGCGCGAAAGCGUGGGGAGCGAACCGGAUUAGAUACCCGGGUAGUCCACGCCGUAAACGAUGGGCACUAGGUGUGAGGGGUAUUGACCCCCUUCGUGCCGAAGCUAACGCGAUAAGUGCCCCGCCUGGGGAGUACGGCCGCAAGGCUA